rnacentral:rRNA from 1 species
UACGAAGGUGGCAAGCGUUGUUCGGAUUUACUGGGCGUACAGGGAGCGUAGGCGGUUGGAUAAGCCCUCCGUGAAAUCUCCAGGCUUAACCUGGAAAGUGCAGAGGGGACUGUUCAGCUAGGAGGAUGGGAGAGGAGCGCGGAAUUCCCGGUGUAGCGGUGAAAUGCGUAGAGAUCGGGAGGAAGGCCGGUGGCGAAGGCG